CCUACGGGUGGCAGCAGUGGGGAAUAUUGGGCAAUGGGCGCAAGCCUGACCCAGCAACGCCGCGUGAAGGAAGAAGGCUUUCGGGUUGUAAACUUCUUUUCUCAGGGACGAAGAAAGUGACGGUACCUGCGGAAUAAGCCUCGGAUAACUACGUGCCAGCAGCCGCGGGAAGACGUAGGUGGCAAGCGUUAUCCGGAUUUAAGGGGUGUAAAGGGAGUGUAGGCGGGAAGGCAAGUCAGAUGUGAAAACCAGGGGCUCAACCUGUGGCUUGCAUUUGAAACUGGUUUUCUUGAGUACUGGAGAGGCAGACGGAAUGCCAAGUGUAGCGGUGAAAUGCGUAGAUAUUAGGAGGAACACCAGGGGCGAAGGCGGUCUGCUGGACAGCAACUGACGCUGAGGCGCGAAAGCGUGGGGAGCAAACAGGAUUAGAUACCCUUGUAGUC
rnacentral:rRNA from 1 species